rnacentral:rRNA from 1 species
GAUGAACGCUGGCGGCGUGCCUAAUACAUGCAAGUCGAGCGAAUGGAUUAAGAGCUUGCUCUUAUGAAGUUAGCGGCGGACGGGUGAGUAACACGUGGGUAACCUGCCCAUAAGACUGGGAUAACUCCGGAAAACAGGGGCUAAUACCGGAUAACAUUUUGAACCGCAUGGUUCGAAAUUGAAAGGCGGCUUCGGCUGUCACUUAUGGAUGGACCUGCGUCGCAUUAGCUAGUUGGUGAGGUAACGGCUCACCAAGGCAACGAUGCGUAGCCGACCUGAGAGGGUGAUCGGCCACACUGGGACUGAGACACGGCCCAGACUCCUACGGGAGGCAGCAGUAGGGAAUCUUCCGCAAUGGGCGAAAGUCUGACGGAGCAACGCCGCGUGAGUGAUGAAGGCUUUCGGGUCGUAAAACUCUGUUGUUAGGGAAGAACAAGUGCUAGUUGAAUAAGCUGGCACCUUGACGGUACCUAACCAGAAAGCCACGGCUAACUACGUGCCAGCAGCCGCGGUAA